rnacentral:misc_RNA from 1 species
AAGGCGUAACAAGGUUUCCGUAGGUGAACCUGCGGAAGGAUCAUUAACACGUAUCCAACGUUAAUCAGAGUUCUGAAAGCGUCUUUGAUUGUGUAAGGGUGGCGCAAACACGAUCGUUGGAGGCUGACACGGCCGACGACCGUGUCCCCUUCGUCACCAUGCCCCUUAAUCACCACACUGUAACGCCGACAGGUCGCGAUAAUUCCGCUGACCACAAAAAACCGAACAACUGUUAACAAUGGAUAUCUUGGUUCUC